rnacentral:tRNA from 1 species
GGUAAGAUGGCCGAGUGGUCUAAGGCGCCAGGUUCAGGUUAACCUGAACUAGUAAUUCCUGGUCCAGGUAACUGGGCGUGGGUUCGAAUCCCACUCUUAUCA